rnacentral:rRNA from 1 species
GUUAAAAAGCUCGUAGUCGGAUUUCGGGGCGGGCCGAGCGGUCUGCCGAUGGGUAUGCACUGUUCGGCGCGUCCUUCUUUCCGGAGACUAGUUCUACUCUUAACUGAGCGGGACUGGGAGACGGAUCGUUUACUUUGAAAAAAUCAGAGUGUUUCAAGCAGGCAGCUCGCUCUUGCAUGGAUUAGCAUGGGAUAAUGAAAUAGGACUCUGGUGCUAUUUUGUUGGUUUCGAACACCGGAGUAAUGAUUAACAGGGACAGUCAGGGGCACUCGUAUUCCGUCGAGAGAGGUGAAAUUCUCAGACCAAUGGAAGACGAACCACUGCGAAAGCAUUUGCCAGGGAUGUUUUCACUGAUCAAGAACGAAAGUUAGGGGAUCGAAGACGAUCAGAUACCGUCGUAGUCUUAACCAUAAACCAUGCCGACUAGGGAUUGGAGGGUGUUCUAUUCGACCCCUUCAGCACCUUACGGGAAACUAAAGUCUUUGGGUUCCGGGGGGAGUAUGGUCGCAAGGCUGAAACUUAAAGGAAUUGACGGAAGGGCACCACCAGGAGUGGAGCCUGCGGCUUAAUUUGACUCAACACGGGGAAACUUACCAGGUCCAGACAUUGUUAGGAUUGACAGAUUGAGAGCUCUUUCUUGAUUCGAUGGGUGGUGGUGCAUGGCCGUUCUUAGUUGGUGGAGUGAUUUGUCUGGUUAAUUCCGUUAACGAA